GACCUCAGUUGACCUGCACGUCUCGGCCUCACAAAGUGCUGGGAUGACAGGUGUGAGCCACCGUGCCCAGCCAAGAGACUAAUAUUAAUAUACAGAAAAACAACCAAUCAUAAUCAUCACUAGCUUUAUUCUCAAACCCAAAUUUCAGCCAAAUGCUUUAAAUCACUCCCAGUUCUAGGGUAAUACCAUACUUUCUAGAUGCUUGCAAUCUCAUACCACCAUUGCUUCUACAAGACAUCCAUGAAUCACAGCACCCCAACUGUUUAUAACUUUCCCUUUGUGAGUCUCAAAUCAUAGCAAGAAUUAAGGGAAUACUCACCAGAUAAUGCGGCCUUUUUCUGUUUCUGUUCUGGUGUCAGCCCUAACCCUGAAAUUCUUUCAUUGUAUCUUUUUUCGUCCUCUUUUAUAAUCUUGUAGGCCUGCAGAUCCAAACAUGGAGAAAGUUUAUUUCACCAUACAGCUAGCUCAUACUCACCAGAGUUUAUUGGAGACCUUUUAAAGAAAAGAACAGCCCAUCAGGCAAUGUGCUGCAAUUGAGGAACCUGGACCCUGAGAGCUGGGUUUAACCUGGAAGCAUUUAACAUUGUGACAAAUGAAGUAGAAAGAAGUACUGUAUGUGAAAAGACAAUAGCUACUCCUUGAAUUUACUACUAAAUUUAUCAAAUAAACGAAUUCAAUUAACAUUAA